rnacentral:rRNA from 1 species
CAGUCGCCGCGGUAAUACCAGCACCUCGAGUGGUCAGGAGGUUUAUUGGGCCUAAAGCAUCCGUAGCCGGUUGCAUAAGUUUUCGGUUAAUUCUAUGCGCUUAACGUAUAGGCCGCCGAAAAUACUGUGCAGCUAGGGAGUGGGAGAGGUACACGGUACUCGAUAGGAAGGGGUAAAAUCCUUUGAUCUAUUGAUGACCACCUGUGGCGAAGGCGGUGUACCAGAACACGUUCGACGGUGAGGGAUGAAAGCUGGGGGAGCAAACCGGAUUAGAUACCCCAGUAGUCCCUGUCUCUUAUAC